ACACACACACACACACACACACACACACACACACACACACACACACACACACACACACACACUUUGCCCGUCACCCGUGUCACCUCACAGCCAGCCAUUGGAGGAGAAGUCCCGCCUCAGCUGCUGAGCCUCGGCCUCUGUGAUUGGCUGAAGAGGUGAUCGACAGGCGCCG